rnacentral:rRNA from 1 species
AUAUCAAUAAGCGGAGGAAAAGAAACCAACAGGGAUUGCCCCAGUAACGGCGAGUGAAGCGGCAACAGCUCAAAUUUGAAAUCUGGCCCUCGGGUCCGAGUUGUAAUUUGUAGAGGAUGCUUUUGGCGAGGUGCCUUCCGAGUUCCCUGGAACGGGACGCCAUAGAGGGUGAGAGCCCCGUCUGGUCGGACACCGAGCCUCUGUAAAGCUCCUUCGACGAGUCGAGUAGUUUGGGAAUGCUGCUCAAAAUGGGAGGUAUAUGUCUUCUAAAGCUAAAUAUUGGCCAGAGACCGAUAGCGCACAAGUAGAGUGAUCGAAAGAUGAAAAGCACUUUGAAAAGAGGGUUAAAAAGUACGUGAAAUUGUUGAAAGGGAAGCGCCUAUGACCAGACUUGAGCCCGGUGAAUCAUCCAGCGUUCUCGCUGGUGCACUUUGCCGGGCCCAGGCCAGCAUCAGUUUGGCGCGGGGGAUAAAGGUGACGGGAAUGUGGCUCCCUCGGGAGUGUUAUAGCCCGCUACGUAAUACCCUGCGCCGGACUGAGGUACGCGCAUUGCAAGGAUGCUGGCGUAAUGGUCAUCAGCGACCCGUCUUGAAACACGGACCAAGGAGUCGUCUUCGUAUGCGAGUGUUCGGGUGUCAAACCCCUACGCGUAAUGAAAGUGAACGCAGGUGAGAGCUUCGGCGCAUCAUCGACCGAUCCUGAUGUUCUCGGAUGGAUUUGAGUAAGAGCAUACGGGGCCGGACCCGAAAGAAGGUGAACUAUGCCUGUAUAGGGUGAAGCCAGAGGAAACUCUGGUGGAGGCUCGCAGCGGUUCUGACGUGCGAAUCGAUCGUCAAAUAUGGGCAUGGGGGCGAAAGACUAAUCGAACCUUCUAGUAGCUGGUU